UAGGUUGGUUGGCGUCGGAGCAAAGAUCUGCCACAUCUGGAGAGCAUUCAAGAGUCUGGAAAAAGCAGGUUUCUGUUUCCCUAGCUGAUGGCUCAGGUGG